rnacentral:rRNA from 1 species
UACGGGGGCAGCAGUGGGGAAGUAUUGCACAAUGGGCGCAAGCCUGAUGCAGCCAUGCCGCGUGUAUGAAGAAGGCCUUCGGGUUGUAAAGUACUUUCAGUCGUGAGGAAGGUGUUAAGGUUAAUAACCUUAGCAAUUGACGUUAGCGACAGAAGAAGCACCGGCUAACUCCGUGCCAGCAGCCGCGGUAAUACGGAGGGUGCGAGCGUUAAUCGGAAUUACUGGGCGUAAAGGGCACGCAGGCGGUUAAUUAAGUUGGAUGUGAAAUCCCCGGGCUUAACCUGGGAAUGGCAUUCAAGACUGGUUAGCUAGAGUCUUGUAGAGGGGGUAGAAUUCCAUGUGUAGCGGUGAAAUGCGUAGAGAUGUGGAGGAAUACCGGUGGCGAAGGCGGCCCCUGGACAAAGACUGACGCUCAUGUGCGAAAGCGUGGGGAGCAAACAGGGAUUAGAUA